CGCGCGCGCUAGUUCGUCACACUCAUCUCGUGGGGGCUGUUCCAAUUCUUACCCACCAAUUUCACCUCGCACCAGUAGGGAUCUGUCACAGGACCGCAUAAUUUACUCCACUCUAUAUGAGUGAGUGAUCCCACGGCGCUGGAGUGCGUGCGGGGGUUGUAAUCUGCUGGUAUUUGUGUGUGCACACGACCUGUUCGAUGAUUUGCCCGUUUAUGAGUGUGCGCCGCCAGUGCCACCUGCGCAUGCCCAAUUUCCGCGAUGCUGGAAAAGCCAUGUCAGUGGCAGCUUUGCAAGAUCUUUGUUUUGCACUCACGUUAAGUUGUUUCCUUCUGCCUUGUCUAACCAGCAAAUAUGGUAAAACUCGUUUAUGCAGGUGGAUAUGUUAUGUAAGUUGGGGGCGGCCGCCGUACAUUUUACCGCGAGAACAAGGACGUCUUCACCCUGUCUACUAUGGCACUUCUAUAAUUAUGUUAAACCUUGUUUUAGUUCUCCUCCAUACCAUGAAUUAUCUGGUCCAUACAGUUAAGAGUAUUUCAUAGAGGAACUGCCGUCACCUUAUUAUAGAAUCAUUGAGCAUGGUUUAGUUCACCAAAUCGUUCAUGUGGUAUAAUAUUUUUGCUUAUUAUUUUUCAUAAUUUAUUCAAUGAUCUUCCUCACUUGCCUGAGAUGUAACUACUAUGCAUGUUGACCAUAAUCAAUAAGAAUGGUUUACUCGACAGGAACCAUCAACAGGAGAUUAAUUGAAAUCACUUGAAAAUUAAUUGCAGAUUGUAG
rnacentral:lncRNA from 1 species